rnacentral:rRNA from 1 species
AACGAACGCUGGCGGCAGGCUUAACACAUGCAAGUCGAGCGCCCCGCAAGGGGAGCGGCAGACGGGUGAGUAACACGUGGGUAACCUGCCCAUCAGAGGGGGAUAACACUUGGAAACAGGUGCUAAUACCGCAUAAUUCCUUUUACCGCAUGGUAAAAGGCUGAAAGGCGCUUCUGGUGUCACUGAUGGAUGGACCCGCGGUGCAUUAGCUAGUCGGUGGGGUAACGGCCUACCGAGGCGAUGAUGCAUAGCCGACCUGAGAGGGUGAUCGGCCACAUUGGGACUGAGACACGGCCCAAACUCCUACGGGAGGCAGCAGUAGGGAAUCUUCGGCAAUGGACGAAAGUCUGACCGAGCAACGCCGCGUGAGUGAAGAAGGUUUUCGGAUCGUAAAACUCUGUUGUUAGAGAAGAACAGGAGAAGUAGUAACUGGCUUCUUUUUGACGGUAUCUAACCAGAAAGCCACGGCUAACUACGUGCCAGCCGCCGCGGUAAAAC